rnacentral:lncRNA from 1 species
UUGAGGAAGGCUAGAUUUACCUUCCUCGUCGAUUGAGCUAAUUCAUAGCAUACUUUGAUUUUUUGCCAGAUAUGGGAUGGGAAUUAGGUCUUGCGGGUAUAAUUAGUAUAAUUUGGUGGUUUUAGCCUAUUAAGUAACCAUAAAUUAGGCGUAAUUGAAUUAGUUAUUCAUGUUUAGGUAGAAUUUCUAUCUUAAUGCUAAUUAUGACUUAUUUAACAUCUAGAAGUGCACCUUA